GCGGCUUUGGUCUAGUGGCAUGAUAUAAGCUUCCCAAGCUUAGGACGCGGGUCCGAUUCCCGCAAGCCGCA
rnacentral:tRNA from 1 species